rnacentral:rRNA from 1 species
AUCCGGGACACGGGUGGCUAAUACCGCAUAGUUUUCUUGAUCGCAUGAUCGGGAAAGGAAAGACGGCCUUUGUGCUGUCGCUUAUGGAUGGACCCGCGGCGUAUUAGUUAGUUGGUGAGGUAACGGCUCACCAAGACGAUGAUACGUAGCCGACCUGAGAGGGUGAUCGGCCACAUUGGGACUGAGACACGGCCCAAACUCCUACGGGAGGCAGCAGUAGGGAAUCUUCCGCAAUGGACGAAAGUCUGACGGAGCAACGCCGCGUGAGUGAAGAAAAGGUUUUCGGAUCGUAAAACUCUGUUGUCAGAGAAGAACAAGUUGGAGAGUAACUGCUCCAGCCUUGACGGUAUCUGACCAGAAAGCCACGGCUAACUACGUGCCAGCCGCAGC